AGACGAAGGGAUUUGUAAUAUUGCAUAUCCUGCUCAGUAGGUGGCGGUAAUGCACACAGAGCGAAAACUCAAUAAAACAGAAGAACGUUCAGCUACACUUCAUACACACCCCACACCAGUUGGUGGCGGUAAUGCGCCGCCGACUAACGUCGAAGAAGAAGAAGUUUGGAGGCCAGUCGAGUGAUAAAAGUAUCGUGCGGGUGAAGCUCAGGAAAAAUGAUGAGACAGAAACGGUUAAAUUUAAUCUUUAAGCGUUUACAUUUGUGUCUUUGAGCAUAUCAGAUAAGUCCUGUCGUCAUGGUAGCCAGUUAACUUGCUCCACCAUUUUGUGCAUGAUUUUAGAACGAGGUUUCGUUCAAUAACGUUAGCUGAAGUUACCCGUCUACACGUGGGGAGGCUUGUUCGUCAACUGGGUCAACUGAAGAAAGGCGGUUCCGGUGAAAUGAUCUUUGUGGACCUGAUAUACAUGGUCGUCCAGCUGAAGUGAAGGCAGAGCUUAUCUACCAUAAGCUCUUGACUGGUUUGUCUGAUUUUUAUUUUAAGCUUGUAAUUUGCCAAAUAAAUACUUGUGAAGUAAA